GACAAGAAAUAACAAUACGGGGCUUAAAGUCUUGUAAUUGGAAUGAUGGGAAUUUAAACCUCUUCCAGAGUAUCAAUUGGAGGGCAAGUCUGGUGCCAGCAGCCGCGGUAAUUCCAGCUCCAAUAGCGUAUAUUAAAAUUGUUGCGGUUAAAAAGCUCGUAGUUGAAUUUCUGCUGCAUUGCUUGUGUCCCUCUGGGGUCUGUGCAUGUGGCUUUUUUCGGACGGAGUUUCUUUGUCUGAAUGUUUACUUUGAGAAAAUUAGAGUGCUCAAAGCAGGCUUUCGCCUUGAAUAGUUUAGCAUGGAAUAAUAAAGUAGGACUUUGGUUCUAUUUUGUUGGUUUUAGGUACCAAAGUAAUGGUUAAUAGGAACAGUUGGGGGCAUUCGUAUUUAACUGUCAGAGGUGAAAUUCUUAG
rnacentral:rRNA from 1 species